rnacentral:rRNA from 1 species
AACGAACGCUGGCGGCAUGCCUAACACAUGCAAGUCGAACGAGACCUUCGGGUCUAGGGGCGCACGGGUGCGUAACGCGUGGGAACUUGCCCUUAGGUUCGGAGUAACUCCCCGAAAGGUGUGCUAAUACCGGUUAAUGUCUUCGGACCAAAGAUUUAUCGCCUUUGGAUGGGCCCGCGUUGGAUUAGCUAGUUGGUAGGGUAAAAGCCUACCAAGGCGACGAUCCAUAGCUGGUCGGAGAGGAUGAUCAGCCACACUGGGACUGAGACACGGCCCAGACUCGUACGGGAGGCAGCAGUGGGGAAUAUUGGACAAUGGGCGAAAGCCUGAUCCAGCAAUGCCGCGUGAGUGAUGAAGGCCUUAGGGUUGUAAAGCUCUUUUACCCGGGAUGAUAAUGACAGUACCGGGAGAAUAAGCUCCGGCUAACUCCGUG